GACGAACGCUGGCGGCGUGCCUAAACAUGCAAGUCGAACGGUGUAGCAAUACACAGUGGCGAACGGCGGAGUAAUACAUAAGCAACGUGCCCUGAAGACUGGGAUAGUCAGAGGAAACUCUGGGUAAUACCAGAUGUGGCCCCUUUCCGGCAUCGGAGAGUGGUUAAACGGUUUUUCGCUUCAGGAGCGGCUUAUGGCCUAUCAGGUAGUUGGUGAGGUAACGGCUCACCAAGCCGACGACGGGUAGCGGGUCUGAGAGGAUGAUCCGCUCGAGUGGGACUGAGACACGGCCCACACACCUACGGGUGGCAGCAGUUGGGAAUCUUGCACAAUGGGGGAAACCCUGA
rnacentral:rRNA from 1 species